GACGAAGGAUGCAAGCGUUAUCCGGAUUUAUUGGGUUUAAAGGGAGCGUAGGCGGUCCUAUAAGUCAGUGGUGAAAGCCUAGAGCUUAACUCUGGAAUUGCCAUUGAUACUGUAGGACUUGAGUAUAGUUGCUGUGGGCGGAAUAUGACAUGUAGUGGUGAAAUACUUAGAGAUGUCAUAGAACACCGAUUGCGAAGGCAGCUCACAAAACUAUAACUGACGCUGAGGCUCGAAAGUGCGGGGAUCAAACAGGAUUAGAUACCCUGGUAGUCCGCACUGUAAACGAUGAUUACUCGUUGCUGGGAAGCAAUUUUCAGUGACUAAGCGAAAGCGAUAAGUAAUCCACCUGGGGAGUACGCCGGCAACGGUG
rnacentral:rRNA from 1 species